rnacentral:rRNA from 1 species
CGCGUAGGCGGUUUGUUAAGUCGGAUGUGAAAGCCCCGGGCUCAACCUGGGAACUGCACCCGAUACUGGCCGACUAGAGUACGAGAGAGGGAGGUAGAAUUCCACGUGUAGCGGUGAAAUGCGUAGAUAUGUGGAGGAAUACCGGUGGCGAAGGCGGCCUCCUGGCUCGAUGCUGACGCUGAGGUGCGAAAGCGUGGGGAGCAAACA